GGGUGCGAUCAUACCAGCACUAGAGCACCGGAUCCCAUCAGAACUCCGAAGUUAAGCGUGCUUGGGCGAGAGCAGUACUAGGAUGGGUGACCUCCUGGGAAGUCCUCGUGUUGCACCCU
rnacentral:rRNA from 1 species